rnacentral:misc_RNA from 1 species
GAAAUGCGAUAAGUAAUGUGAAUUGCAGAAUUCGGUGAAUCAUCGAAUCUUUGAACGCAUCUUGCGCUCCUUGGUAUUCCUUGGAGCAUGCCUGUUUGAGUAUCAUGAAAUCUUCAAAGUAAAUCUUUUGUUAACUCAAUUGGUUUCUACUUUGGUAUUGGAGGUCUUUGCAGCUUCACACCUGCUCCUCUUUGUUCAUUAGCUGGAUCUCAGUGUUAUGCUUGGUUCCACUCGGCGUGAUAAGUUAUCUAUCGCUGAGGACACUGUAAAAGGUGGCCAAGGUAAAUGCAGAUGAACCGCUUCUAAUAGUCCAUUGACUUGGACAAUACUUUUAUGAUCUGAUCUCAAAUCAGGUAGGACUACCCGCUGAACUUAAGC